AGUGACCGAUAGCGGAUUAGUACCGUGAGGGAAUGGUGAAAAGUACCCCGGGAGGGGAGUGAAAUAGUACCUGAAACCGUGCGCUUACAAUCCGUCAGAGCCUUCGUGUUAAAGCGUGGGGUGAUGGAGUGCCUUUUGAAGAAUGAGCCUGCGAGUCAGGGACAUGUCGCGAGGUUAACCCGUGUGGGGUAGCCGUAGCGAAAGCGAGUCUGAAUAGGGCGUAUCCACACAAGAGUGUGUGGUGUAGUGGUGUGU
rnacentral:rRNA from 1 species